UACGAAGGGGGCUAGCGUUGUUCGGAAUUACUGGGCGUAAAGCGUGCGCAGGCGGCCUUUUAAGUCAGGGGUGAAAGCCCAGAGCUCAACUCUGGAAUUGCCUUUGAAACUAUUUGGCUCGAGUGCGGGAGAGGUGAGUGGAAUUCCCAGUGUAGAGGUGAAAUUCGUAGAUAUUGGGAAGAACACCGGUGGCGAAGGCGGCUCACUGGCCCGUUUCUGACGCUCAUGCACGAUAGCGUGGGGAG
rnacentral:rRNA from 1 species